UACGUAGGGGGCAAGCGUUGUCCGGAUUUAUUGGGCGUAAAGAGCGUGUAGGCGGCCAGGGAGGUCCGUUGUGAAAACUCGAGGCUCAACCUCGAGACGCCGAUGGAAACCCCCUGGCUAGAGUCCGGAAGAGGAGAAUGGAAUUCCCAGUGUAGAGGUGAAAUUCGUAGAUAUUGGGAAGAACACCGGUGGCGAAGGCGGCUCUCUGGACCGAGACUGACGCUGAGGCGCGAAAGCGUGGGGAGCAAACAGG
rnacentral:rRNA from 1 species